rnacentral:rRNA from 1 species
GGUGUCAGCCGCCGCGGUAAUACGGAGGGGGCGAACGUUGUUCGGAAUUACUGGGCGUAAAGGGUGCGUAGGCGGCUUGGUAAGUCUAAUGUUAAAUCUCCUCGCUCACCGAGGAUCAUGCAUUGGAAACUGCUAAGCUCGAGGAUGGGAGAGGCAGGUGGAAUUCCAGGUGUAGCGGUGGAAUGCGUAGAUAUCUGGAAGAACACUCGUGGCGAAGGCGGCCUGCUGGACCAUUCCUGACGCUGAGGCACGAAAGCCAGGGGAGCGAACGGGAUUAGAUACCCCGGUAGUCCUGGCCGUAAACUGUGGAUACUAGGUGUCGGGGGUAUCGACCCCCCCGGUGCCGCAGCUAACGCGUUAAGUAUCCCGCCUGGGGAGUACGACCGCAAGGUUGAAACUUAAAUGAAUUGACGGG